CUAUUUGCGUUAGUCCUGUAUAUUCAGUGAAUGUGAGGUCAUAUUUGGUAUCGUAUUAGAAGUAGUGUUGGUCACUGGUCUUGCCUCUUUGAACAUUAUUUUCAUUUGUAAAAUGAGGGAGUUGGUUUGUUAUGAUGGGAAAUGAGUCAGUUUUCAGGGUCCUGAGAAAGCUGCUUCAUUCAUGGCUGUGUUUGGGAUAACUAAGGUAAUUUUUUUUUUCAGGUAUUUGGUGUCAUGUUUUGGAGUUAAUAUUUCGUGCUUAUAUAAUUUUUAAGUUAUUACAUAAUUUUUAUUGGUAUAUAUUUUGUAGGUACUAGGUAUUGGAUUCUCACCAAACCAGUAGAAUGGUAUUCUCUCUUAAUAUGUCAUUGCCUGUAAUGGCCAGGUAGAUAUACCUUAAAGUAAUAUGAAAGGUUUUAUAUGUAUAUUAAAAUGUUUAUACUUUUAAAUCUGUAAAAGUUAUCUGGAAUUUUUACUGUGUUAACUUCAGAAUUAUAUGGGCAUUAUGACUUUUUCAUUGUACAAAAAAAAUUAUUCAUAAAUGUUGAAAUACAGGUGUUCCUUGACUUACGAUAGGGUUAUGUUCCAGUAGACCCAUUGUAAAUUGAAAAUACCGUAAGUUGAAAAUACAUUUAAUACGCCUAACCUAUUGAACAUCCCAGCUUAGCCUACCUAUCUUAAAUGUGUUCUGAACACUUAAUAUUGGCCUUUAGCCAGGCAAAAUCAUCUAAUACAAAACCUAUUUUAUAAUGAAGUGUUUAAUAUCUCAAAUAAGAGUAUUGUACCACAUAUCGUUAGCCCAGGAUAAUAUCAGAAUACGAAAUUUGAAGUACAAUUUUUAACUGAAUGUGUAUUGCUUUUGCCCCAUUAUAAAGUUGAAAAACCAUAAGUCAAACCAUUUUUAAGUCGGACUGUUUGUGUUACAUAUAUUUAGUGGCCCUUUUUAAAAAGCUGUUUCUUAUUUCUGAUCAUUGUGAGGGGGGAUAGAUGUGGGAAGAAUCAUGUCUCUACUAAAAAUACAAAAAAUAGCCAGGCUUGUUGGCACACACCUAUAGUCCCGGCUACUCGGGAGACUGAGGCAGGAGAAUUGCUUGAACCGGGAGGCAGAGGGCAGAUCAUGCCACUAUUCCAGCCUGGGCAACAGAGUAAGACUCUAUCUCAAAAAUGAAUGAAUUUUCGAGACUGUCUCAAAAAUGAAUGAAUGAAUGAAUGAAUGAAUGUGCUAUGAGCUGAUACUGGGAUUUCAGGUACCACAGUUUGUGCUGAAUGAUAUGUUUGGGGUAAAUCAGUUUUUUUCUUACAGAAUUUCGGUGUUUUUGCUGCACCUACCACUAAUUUUGCAUUUAAAAGAACAAAAGAGGAAUGUAUUUUUCAAAGGAGUCAAUGAGGUUAAAAUCAAGAUUUUGAAUGGUAUAAAUAGCAACUAAUUCAGUUGUAGGAUAUUACUGAGUUUUUUAUUUCUAAAUAUGUUUCUUUAAUACAUUGCAGUGCUUACAGUUCCAACAGCUUUCCAAGAAAACAUUUCCAUGUUUGUGUUAUUUGUAAAGUAUACAUAAAUAAUGUAAAAUAAUUUGGGAUUAUCUCAACUUUAUAUUGUAUGUCUGAAUUUCAUCGAUGUUGUACCUGGCUCAGUCAAUAGUUGUCACAGGUAUUAAGCCAUUUUGGAAUUUGCCACUUUUUUCUGGGUAACCUGUUUUAGUUUAGUUUACAGCACUUAGAAAUAGAAGGUAACUUUAUAGAAGUAACACCGGUAUCCUAGUCUGCUUGCCCCGAAUAUAAUUAAUAGUAUUAGGAUGUAAGUGAUGUUAAGAUGGUUUUUACUAUUUUUUGUACACUGUGUGCUUUUACUUUUUAUUUAAACUACAGCGAAAAACUGAUUUUUUAACUAAAAUUGAAUGGCGUUUAUCUUAAUGACCAGUUAUUGACCAAAUCGUACUCAGAAGAUGUUAUUAUGUCCCAAUCUAAGGAAUCCUUUAAUUUGGGGAUUAAUUUUACUUACACAUGCCAUUUCAGUUUAAGUUGCCUCAUUCUAUUACAUCAUUCUUGUCAAGUCUAAGCUUUAUCAUGUCUGAAUUAACACUGAAUCUGUGAUGUAAAAAUGUAUGAUGUGCCAUAAAUUUUAUUCAUAAUAAACUAAGUUAUAGCCUAUUGUAAUCUGUAAAACAUUUCUUGUAAAUUACCUAAUUUAUUUUUUCAUUUAUGUACAGUAUCUUAUGUAAAUUUGAAAAAUGUUUGCCAUGGCGCAUUCUGUAAACAUUCCCGUAUUCUUUUCCUUAAUGCUUAUUUGCAUGAAGGUAACUUGGGUUUUGCUUGUUUGUAUUGGAUAACCAUUAAGCCAACUUCAGUUUCUCUGCCUUUUUUUCUGUAGUUUAACCAUUUCUAAUUUUGUUCAUAUUCUAAAUAGAUGUUCGAAUCAUACUUUUUAUUUUCUACUUUCUAAAUAAAUUAUCUAA
ensembl:lncRNA